UACGGAGGGGGCUAGCGUUGUUCGGAAUUACUGGGCGUAAAGCGCACGUAGGCGGCUUUGUAAGUUAGAGGUGAAAGCCCGGGGCUCAACUCCGGAAUUGCCUUUAAGACUGCAUCGCUAGAAUUGUGGAGAGGUAAGUGGAAUUCCGAGUGUAGAGGUGAAAUUCGUAGAUAUUCGGAAGAACACCAGUGGCGAAGGCGGCAUCCUGGACCGGUAUUGACGCUGAGGCGCGAAAGCUAGGGGAGCAAACGGG
rnacentral:rRNA from 1 species